CCUAGUACGGCGAGUGAAGCGGGAAGAGCUCAAAUUUGAAAUCUGGUAGCCUUCGGUUGCCCGAGUUGUAAUCUAGAGAAGUGUUUUCCGCGUUGGCCCAUGUACAAGUCCCUUGGAACAGGGCGUCAUAGAGGGUGAGAAUCCCGUCCUUGACAUGGACCCCCAAUGCUUUGUGAUACACUUUCAACGAGUCGAGUUGUUUGGGAAUGCAGCUCAAAAUGGGUGGUGAAUUCCAUCUAAAGCUAAAUAUUGGCGAGAGACCGAUAGCGAACAAGUACCGUGAGGGAAAGAUGAAAAGCACUUUGGAAAGAGAGUUAAACAGUACGUGAAAUUGUUGAAAGGGAAACGAUUGAAGUCAGUCAUGCUCUUUGGAUUAAGCCGUUCUGCGGUGUAUUUCAUUGAGCGGGGUCAACAUCAGUUUUGAUCGCUGGAAAAGGGCAGGAGGAAGGUAGCACUCUCGGGUGAACUUAUAGCCUCUUGUCGUAUACAGUGAUUGGGACUGAGGAACGCAGCAUGCCUUUUGGCCGGGAUUCGUCCACGUACAUGCUUAGGAUGUUGACAUAAUGGCUUUAAACGACCCGUCUUGCACCCACGGACCA
rnacentral:rRNA from 1 species